GACGAACGCUGGCGGCGUGCCUAAUACAUGCAAGUCGAGCGAAGUUUUUCUGGUGCUUGCACUAGAAAAACUUAGCGGCGAACGGGUGAGUAACACGUAAAGAACCUGCCUCAUAGACUGGGACAACUAUUGGAAACGAUAGCUAAUACCGGAUAACAGCAUUAACUGCAUGGUUGAUGUUUAAAAGUUGGUUUUGCUAACACUAUGAGAUGGCUUUGCGGUGCAUUAGCUAGUUGGUGGGGUAAAGGCCUACCAAGGCGACGACGCAUAGCCGACCUGAGAGGGUGAUCGGCCACACUGGGACUGAGACACGGCCCAGACUCCUACGGGAGGCAGCAGUAGGGAAUCUUCCGCAAUGGGCGAAAGCCUGACGGAGCAACGCCGCGUGAGUGAAGAAGGAUUUCGGUUCGUAAAGCUCUGUUGUUAGGGAAGAAUGAUUGUGUAGUAACUAUACACAGUAGAGACGGUACCUAACCAGAAAGCCACGGCUAACUACGUGCCAGCAGCCGCGGUAAUACGUAGGUGGCAAGCGUUGUCCGGAAUUAUUGGGCGUAAAGCGCGCGCAGGUGGUUUAAUAAGUCUGAUGUGAAAGCCCACGGCUCAACCGUGGAGGGUCAUUGGAAACUGUUAAACUUGAGUGCAGGAGAGAAAAGUGGAAUUCCUAGUGUAGCGGUGAAAUGCGUAGAGAUUAGGAGGAACACCAGUGGCGAAGGCGGCUUUUUGGCCUGUAACUGACACUGAGGCGCGAAAGCGUGGGGAGCAAACAGG
rnacentral:rRNA from 1 species